GAUAACAUUGAAGGCAAGUUGCCCUUGAGCAGCUCUCUGAAGAUCAACUGCCUCCACAUUGCAUUCUUUGCCCCAAAACUCUUUCCUUUGGUUGUGCUAAGAGGUUAUGCCCAAGGUGCAUCACCUUUCAAGAACUGGAUCAUGAACAACUUUAUCCUCCUGGAAGAACAGCUCAUCAAGAAAUCCCAACAAAAGAGAAGAACUUCUCCGUCGAACUUUAAAGUCCGCUUCUUUGUGUUAACCAAAGCCAGCCUGGCGUACUUUGAGGAUCGUCAUGGGGUAUAAGCACAGAGGAGCAGGGAAGAUGGUCAAAAGAGAUCCCAGGCCCCCAUGUUCUGCCAGAGCACAGCGAGCAAAUGAGCCUCCUGCCACAAACUGAACCCACAUUUCUCUCAAUCCAAGAAAAGGCUGUUCUAAUUCCAAACAAGCUCAUUGUAAACCUCAAUAACAUGAAGUUAGUGUUGCUCACAUUGCUUUCCAACUGUGUUUCAGAUUGAUAUAACUGGUUCCUAACGCAUAAUUAACUGCUGUCAGAAUUAAUCCUUGUCCCCUUGCCUCCCUGCCUGCUGGACUUCAUAUCUGUGUAUUAAUAGUCACUUUUGUUUGGCGAUCUUGUGAAAAAUGCAGACUAAUUUUUAAUCCUUAAAGAGAUAAUACAUUCACAUAAUUUUAUUUUUAUUUUUAUUUUUUCAGAUACGGCCUUUCGCCGUGUGGCACAUUUCAAUAAUUUUAAAAAAACAGUUGCAAAAUGUUAUGCAGUAACAAAUCUCCCAUCUUUGUCCCAAGUCACAUUGCUGUCCUACAUCACAGCAACCAGGAUAAUUUCUUAUAAAUUCUUCCAAUAAUGCUUUAUACAUAUACUUGUAAUACUAAUAAACAUUCUUCUUUUCUUCCUUUUUAAAUAGUAGUAACAUACUCUGCACACACUCCUUAACUUUUCUUUUAGUUGGUUAACAAUGUAUCCUGGAGAUUGAUCCACACUGAUACACAAAGAUAUUCUUCAUUCUGUUUAUGGUUGCAUAAUACUUCAUUGUAUGCAUGAAAAAUUUCUUUUAAUGAAGGUUGGUCUGUUUCCAGUUUUUUGUUAUUAUGCGCGAUGAGAAA
rnacentral:sRNA from 1 species